AUUGAACGCUGGCGGCAGGCCUAACACAUGCAAGUCGAGCGGAUGAAGGGAGCUUGCUCCUGGAUUCAGCGGCGGACGGGUGAGUAAUGCCUAGGAAUCUGCCUGGUAGUGGGGGAUAACGUCCGGAAACGGGCGCUAAUACCGCAUACGUCCUGAGGGAGAAAGUGGGGGAUCUUCGGACCUCACGCUAUCAGAUGAGCCUAGGUCGGAUUAGCUAGUUGGUGGGGUAAAGGCCUACCAAGGCGACGAUCCGUAACUGGUCUGAGAGGAUGAUCAGUCACACUGGAACUGGGAAACGGUCCCGACCCCUAAGGGAGGCAGCAGUGGGGAAUAUUGGACAAUGGGCGAAAGCCUGAUCCAGCCAUGCCGCGUGUGUGAAGAAGGUCUUCGGAUUGUAAAGCACUUUAAGUUGGGAGGAAGGGCAGUAAGUUAAUACCUUGCUGUUUUGACGUUACCAACAGAAUAAGCACCGGCUAACUUCGUG
rnacentral:rRNA from 1 species